AGAACAAGCUGGGAAGCUUGACCAUAGUGGGUGACAGUCCCGUAUUCGAAAUCUCAACAGCGGUACUAAGCGUACGAAAAGUAGGGCGGGACACAUGAAAUCCUGUCUGAAUAUGGGGGGACCAUCCUCCAAGGCUAAAUACUCAUCAUCGACCGAUAGUGAACCAGUACCGUGAGGGAAAGGCGAAAAGAACCCCGGGAGGGGAGUGAAACAGAACCUGAAACCUGAUGCAUACAAACAGUGGGAGCGCCCUAGAGGUGUGACUGCGUACCUUUUGUAUAAUGGGUCAACGACUUA
rnacentral:rRNA from 1 species